UACGAAGGGGGCGAGCGUUGUUCGGAUUUACUGGGCGUAAAGGGCGCGCAGGCGGCGAUCUUUGUCAGGCGUGAAAGCCCCGGGCUUAACCUGGGAACUGCGCUUGGGACGGGAUUGCUGGAGACCGGGAGAGGAGAGUGGAAUUCCCAGUGUAGAGGUGAAAUUCGUAGAUAUUGGGAAGAACACCCGUGGCGAAGGCGGCUCUCUGGUACGUGACUGACGCUGAGACGCGAAAGCGUGGGGAGCGAACAGG
rnacentral:rRNA from 1 species